rnacentral:snoRNA from 1 species
UCUACUGAAAAUGAUGAGGUUGUCGCUCACAUUCUUAAUGGUCUUGAUUUUGACUAUCACCCUUUUGUUUCUUCUAUGCUAGGCCGAGGGGACGCUAUCUCGCUGUCAGAUCUAUAUUCUCAGUU